rnacentral:rRNA from 1 species
AUUGAACGCUGGCGGCAGGCCUAACACAUGCAAGUCGAACGGUAACAGGAAGCAGCUUGCUGCUUCGCUGACGAGUGGCGGACGGGUGAGUAAUGUCUGGGAAACUGCCUGAUGGAGGGGGAUAACUACUGGAAACGGUAGCUAAUACCGCAUAACGUCGCAAGACCAAAGAGGGGGACCUUAUGUCCGCGUGCCAGCGUGUGUGCCCAGAUGGGAUUAGCUAGGAGGUGGGGUAACGUCUCACCUAGGCGACGAUCCCUAGCUGGUGUGAGAGGCUGAGAAGCCACACUAGAGCUGAGACACGGACCAGGCUCCUGAGGGAGGCAGCAGUGGGGAAUAUUGCACAGUGGGGGCAAGCCUGAUGCAGCCAUGGCGCGUGUAUGACGAAGACGUCGGGGUUGUAAAGUACUUUCAGCGGGGAGAAAGGGAGUAAAGUUAAUACCUUUGGUCAUUGACGUUACCCGCAGAAGAAGCACCGGCUAACUCCGUG